CACGGGUGAGUAACACGUAUCCAACCUGCCGUCUACUCUUGGCCAGCCUUCUGAAAGGAAGAUUAAUCCAGGAUGGCAUCAUGAGUCCGCAUGUUCACAUGAUUAAAGGUAUUCCGGUAGACGAUGGGGAUGCGUUCCAUUAGAUAGUAGGCGGGGUAACGGCCCACCUAGUCUUCGAUGGAUAGGGGUUCUGAGAGGAAGGUCCCCCACAUUGGAACUGAGACACGGUCCAA
rnacentral:rRNA from 1 species